rnacentral:tRNA from 1 species
GGGGCUAUAGCUCAGUUGGUAGAGUUCUUGCCUAGUAUGCAGGAAGCCCAAUACUACAUAAACUAGGCUUUGUGGCCCUG